GAUGAACGCUGGCGGCGUGCUUAACACAUGCCAGUCGAACGGAAAGGCUCCUGCUUGCAGGGGUACUCGAGUGGCGAACGGGUGAGUAACACGUGGGUGAUCUGCCCUGCACUUCGGGAUAAGCCUGGGAAACUGGGUCUAAUACCGGAUAGGACGAUGGUUUGGAUGCCAUUGUGGAAAGUUUUUCGGUGUGGGAUGAGCUCGCGGCCUAUCAGCUUGUUGGUGGGGUAAUGGCCUACCAAGGCGUCGACGGGUAGCCGGCCUGAGAGGGUGUACGGCCACAUUGGGACUGAGAUACGGCCCAGACUCCUACGGGAGGCAGCAGUGGGGAAUAUUGCACAAUGGGCGCAAGCCUGAUGCAGCGACGCCGCGUGGGGGAUGACGGCCUUCGGGUUGUAAACUCCUUUCGCUAGGGACGAAGCGCAAGUGACGGUACCUGGAGAAGAAGCACCGGCUAACUACGUGC
rnacentral:rRNA from 1 species